rnacentral:ncRNA from 2 species
UUCUUAUCAAGAGAGGUUGAGGGAAUGGCCCGAAGACACCUCAGCAACCAUCAAUGGCUACACUCAUUGAAAAGGUGCUAAGUCCUGCAAAUUAUUCGUUAAUUUGCAAGAUAAGAA